ensembl:misc_RNA Metazoa_SRP Metazoan signal recognition particle RNA
GCCGGGCGCGGUGGCGCACGCCUGUAAUCCCAGCUACUCGGAAGGCUGAGCCCGGAAGAUCGCUUGAGUCCAGGAGUUCUGGGCUGCAGUGCGCUAUGCCGAUCGGGUGUCUGCACUAAGUUCGGUAUCAAUAUGGUGACUUCCCGGGAGCGGGGAAACACCAGGUUGCCUAAGGAGGGGUGAACCGGCCCAGGUAGGAAACAGAGCAGGUCGAAAUUGCUCUUCUCUAUGUUUUGUUAUCUACAUUUGUUAUAAGCAAGUAAAGUAAGCUCAAAAAACAUGUGAUUUUU